CGAAAAGUAGCUUAACCUAAAGCAUUCGACCUACACUCGAACGACAUUAAACAUAAUCUUUUCGA
rnacentral:tRNA from 1 species